rnacentral:piRNA from 1 species
UGCACUCAUAGGGCCUUUCUUGUGUGUGA